UAACCAAGAUAUGGAAGAAAUCCAAGUGUCCAUGAAUGAAUAAAGAGAUGGUAUAUAUACAUAUACAUAUAUAUAUAUACACACACAUACAUAUAUAAUGUGAAGGGAGGUGAAGGAAAGAAAUAUUACAGGGAGAUUAAGAGGUACAAACUCCCAGUUGCAAAAUGAUGAGUCAUGGGUAUGAAAUGUACAGUGUGGGAACAAAGUACAGUGAUAGAUCAUAACUAGAUUAUCGUCUUGAUUAUUUUGAAAUGUAUAGAAAUACUGAAUCAAUAUGUUAUGUAACAGAAACUUAUAUAGUGUUGUAGGUCAAUUAUAAUACUAAAAAAACAAGUAAGCAAACAAACUUAUAGAAAAGAAGAUAAGAUUUGUAAUUACCAGAGGCAGAGGGGAGGAGGAAUUGGAUGAAGGCAGUCAAAAGUUACAAACUCCCAAUUAUAAGAUAAGUAAGUACUGGGGACGUAAUGUACAAUAUGCUAAAUAUAACUAACAGUGCUGUCUGUUACUUAUGAGUUGUUAAGAGAGUAAAUCCUAAGAGUUCUCAUCACAAGGGGAAAUUUUUUUUUCUAUUUUAAAAUUUUGUGUCUAUAUGAGACGAUGGAUGUUCUCUAAAUUUACUGUGAUAAUCAUUCGAUGAUGUGAUGGUUUAGUCAUUAACUUGUGUCCAACUCUGCAACGCGUUGGACUGUAACAUGCCAGGCUCUUCUGUCCAUAGGAUUUCCUAGGCAAGAAUACUGAAGUGGGUUGCCAUUACCAACUCCAGGGGAUCUUCCUGACCCAGGGAUCAAACUCGGGUCUCCUGCAUUGCAGGCGGAUUCUUUAUGGUCUGAGCCACCAGGGAAACUCUUGAUGAUGUAUGUAAGCUAAAUCAUUAUGCUAUCUGCCUUAAACUCAUACAGUGCUGUAUGUCUGUUAUAUCUCAGUGAUACUGGAAGAAAAGAAGAUAACCACAUAAGAAAUCAGUAUUCCUGUCAUGGGUGGAUGAUGUCUCCCCCUGAGGAGAGAGGCUGAGGUUCAAUUCAGACUGUCAGCCUUGGUGCUUCCUGGUCAAGCUUCUCUAUUUUCCCAGCAGACUCUACUGGAAUCACUGAGUGGCUGCUGUUGAAUAUGCCCAAGAGGUAACAUCCCUACAGGAGUAAAGAAAAGAAUGAAAAGCCUGGAAGAAAUCCGUUAGGAGUUUCCAGUACUAUUAGGUUCACACUGACUCCACAUGUGAUUUUCUGGAUGUCUAUUUAUAGAGUCACACACAGGCAUUCACACAUGUUUAAUAUUGAUAACAUGUCUGUUCUAGAAAACAUGAGCGUCUCUAAUUCUUAAAUAAUGACUGAUGAAUAAUCCAUUUUUCUUUG
ensembl:lncRNA